rnacentral:rRNA from 1 species
UACAGAGGUCCCAAGCGUUGUUCGGAUUCAUUGGGCGUAAAGGGUGUGUAGGUGGCGCCGUAAGUCGGGUGUGAAAUCUCGGGCUUAACUCCGAAACUGCAUUCGAUACUGCGGUGCUUGAGGACUGGAGAGGAGACUGGAAUUCAUGGUGUAGCAGUGAAAUGCGUAGAGAUCAUGAGGAAGACCAGUGGCGAAGGCGGGUCUCCUGGACAGUUCCUGACACUGAGGCACGAAGGCCAGGGAGCAAACGGG